rnacentral:rRNA from 1 species
AGUGAACGCUGGCGGUAGGCCUAACACAUGCAAGUCGAACGGCAGCACCGUAAGAGCUUGCUCUUACGGGUGGCGAGGGGCGGACGGGUGAGGAGUAGAUAGGAAUCUACUUUUUCGUGGGGGACAACGUAGGACAACUGACGCUAAUACCGAAUACGACCUACGGGUGAAAGCAGGGGAUAAUCGGACCUUGCGCGAUUGAAUGAGCCGAUGUCGGAUUAGCUAGUUUGCGGGGUAACGGCCUACCAAGGCGACGCUACGUAGCUGGUCUGAGAGGAUGAUCGGCCACACUGGAACUGAGACACGGUCCAGACUCCUACGGGAGGCAGCAGUAGGGAAUAUUCCACAAUGGGCGAAAGCCUGACCCAGCAACGCCGCGUGAGUGAGGAAGGGCUUCGGAUCGUAAAACUCUUUUGUUGGGGAAGAAAAGCUGUGUGUGAAACCCUGGCUGUUUUGACGGUACCUAAUCAAAAAGCACCGGCUAACUUCGUG